rnacentral:rRNA from 1 species
GAUGAACGCUGACAGAAUGCUUAACACAUGCAAGUCUUUGGCGAAUCUGUGCUUGCACAGGCUAGCCAAGGCGGACGGGUGAGUAACGCGUAAAGAACUUGCCCUGCAGACAGGGAUAACAGACGGAAACGACUGAUAACACCUGAUACAGUUGCCGGCACGCAUGUGCCUGGCAAUGAAAAGAGAUGCUGCAGGAGAGCUUUGCGUCCUAUUAGCUUGUUGGUGAGGUGACGGCUCACCUAGGCGAUGAUAGGUAGCCGGCCUGAGAGGGUGAACGGCCACAAGGGGACUGAGAUACGGCCCUUACUCCUACGGGAGGCAGCAGUGGGGAAUAUUGGACAAUGGGGGCAACCCUGAUCCAGCAAUUCUGUGUGCACGAAGAAGGUUUUCGGAUUGUAAAGUGCUUUCAGCAGGGAAGAAGAAAGUGACGGUACCUGCAGAAGAAGCGACGGCUAAAUACGUG